CAAUGCAUUGUGCGUUCUUUUUCUCCUAAUAAAAACCUUAUUGCAAUUAUUCAUAUAGCGCCAACAUAUUAUUCAGCAGUGUACAAUAGGUAAACAAAACAAACAGUAAAUUCUAACAAAAUGCGAUUGCUAUACUGGAACAGUAGGAGAAGAGGGCCCUGCCCAAACAAGAUUACAAUCUAUAAUUAAAACUUGAAUGAGUAUCAUAUAAAAUGUACCUAGGGACAGAGUAAAAAUGAUAACAUAUUUUUGAGAGUUAGAAUGAGAAUGGGGCAUUGUACGUAUGGCGAAUGGAAUUUGUCUGGUUGGGGCAGGAAUUUUUGAAGAGAGAGAAAAUACAUUCUAAAU